rnacentral:rRNA from 1 species
AACGUAGGGGGCAAGCGUUAUCCGGAAUCACUGGGCGUAAAGGGCGUCUAGGCGGCCUAUUAGGUCCCGUGUGAAAUCUCCCGGCUCAACUGGGAGGGUGCACGGGAAACCGGUUGGCUAGAGACUCGGAGGGGGGUGCGGAAUUCCCGGUGGAGCGGUGAAAUGCGUUGAUAUCGGGAGGAACACCCGAGGCGAAGGCGGCACCCUGGUCGAGGUCUGACGCUGAAGCGCGAAAGCGUGGGGAGCGAACGGG